GUGGUUAGACAAGAAACUUGGGAGGCCUUUAUUGCUGACAUGCUGUUUUUUGCAAAGGUUUUUCUUGUCGCUCUUGCUUUGGUAAUUGAUUACCACCUGGCUUUUUGGUACUUGGGGGCAUUUUUUGUGAUAUAUAUUCUAACCCAACAGCCUGCCUACCAAGGACUAGGUACUUCAAGUAAACUAACACCAUUGCAGUUGGAAGCCUUGCUAACAAAGGG